rnacentral:rRNA from 1 species
UAUAGAAUAGGACGUGCGGUUCUAUUUUGUUGGUUUCUAGGACCGCCGUAAUGAUUAAUAGGGACAGUCGGGGGCAUCAGUAUUCAAUUGUCAGAGGUGAAAUUCUUGGAUUUAUCGAAGACUAACUACUGCGAAAGCAUUUGCCAAGGAUGUUUUCAUUAAUCAGGAACGAAAGUUAGGGGAUCGAAGACGAUCAGAUACCGUCGUAGUCUUAACCAUAAACUAUGCCGACUAGGGAUCGGACGAUGUUAUUUUUGACUCGUUCGGCACCUUACGAGAAAUCAAAGUGCUUGGGCUCCAGGGGGAGUAUGGUCGCAAGGCUGAAACUUAAAGAAAUUGACGGAAGGGCACCACCAGGGGUGGAGCCUGCGGCUUAAUUUGACUCAACACGGGGAAACUCACCAGGUCCAGACACAAUGAGGAUUGACAGAUUGAGAGCUCUUUCUUGAUUUUGUGGGUGGUGGUGCAUGGCCGUUCUUAGUUGGUGGAGUGAUUUGUCUGCUUAAUUGCGAUAACGAACGAGACCUUAACCUGCUAAAUAGCCCGUAUUGCUUUGGCAGUACGCCGGCUUCUUAGAGGGACUAUCGGCUCAAGCCGAUGG